rnacentral:rRNA from 1 species
GACGAACGCUGGCGGCAUGCCUAAUACAUGCAAGUCGAGCGAACAGAUGAAGUGCUUGCACUUCUGACGUUAGCGGCGAACGGGUGAGUAACACGUAAGGAAUCUACCUAUAAGCGGGGGAUAACAUUCGGAAACGGGUGCUAAUACCGCAUAAUAUCUUCUUCCGCAUGGAAGAAGAUUGAAAGACGGCUCUGCUGUCACUUAUAGAUGACCUUGCGGUGCAUUAGUUAGUUGGUGGGGUAAUAGCCUACCAAGACGAUGAUGCAUAGCCGACCUGAGAGGGUGUUCGGCCACAUUGGGGCGGGGACACGGACCAAGCUCCUACGGGAGGCAGCAGUAGGGAAUCUUCCGCAAUGGGCGAGAGCCUGACGGAGCAAUGCCGCGUGAGUGAAGAAGGCCUUCGGGUCGUAAAACUCUGUUAUAAGAGAAGAACAAAUUGUAGAGUAACUGCUACAGUCUUGACGGUAUCUUAUCAGAAAGCCACGGCUAACUACGUGCCAGCAGCCGCUGUAA